UACGUAGGUGGCAAGCGUUGUCCGGAAUUACUGGGUGUAAAGGGAGCGUAGGCGGGAAGCCAAGUUGGGUGUGAAAUGCCGCAGCUUAACUGCGGAGCUGCACCCAAAACUGGUUUUCUUGAGUGAUGUAGAGGCAGGCGGAAUUCCUAGUGUAGCGGUGAAAUGCGUAGAUAUGACAUAGAACACCGAUAGCGGAGGCAGCUUGCUACACAGUCAUUGACACUGAGGCACGAAAGCGUGGGGAUCAAACAGG
rnacentral:rRNA from 1 species